AUGGAGGGCCUCAGUGAAAACGAUUUGUCCAAUGACAUAUCUCAGCCAACCAAAAACAAAUCUCAGAAGCCGCCACCACCUCAUAAACCACCUCGUAGACCAGUUAAAACUAAUGAUGCUAAAUCUUCAAAGGAAUUCAACACCAAUUCUUUUAUUUGUAAGUUUUGUAAAUCUAAUUUUUCUCUUAAAAGAAGCCGUAAUCGUCAUGAAGGUUAUUGCAGUGCCAAUGCCGAUAGACGUCCACCCACAUUUUCAUGUGCUCAUUGUAAUUCAUCGUUCAAUUUAAAACAAAAUUUAACCACUCAUUUGAAGACAUGUUCACCUGGAACUCCAGAAUCUCAACACCGGAGAAACAAAACCCCUUGUCUCGUAAAAGGUUGUCUCUUAAAAUUCUUCUUCAAAACCCAACUGAUUCAUCAUAUGUCUUCAGUUCAUAGAAAUGAAAUCACAGUCCGCCCCAAGGUAACCAAAACUUUUGCAUCUAUUGAUGAAUUUAAAGCGUGGAAGGAGAAGGAAGAAGAAAACACAUUUUCGUACUUUUCUGCACGAACAGGUCAGGCAUCAAAGUUGGUGAAACAUUACUAUUGCCAACAUGAUGGCCCACAGAAGUCGCACAAAAAGCUCCCACCAGUCUCAAGUAAAUGCCGCAACAAAGGAAGAAUAAAAGUAGGGCAUCAUUGUAUUGCAAAAAUUAAAGUUACAGUGUCUCAAAACAAAUCUGUUAUUGUAGAUUAUUACCCGACUCAUAGCCACGUUUGCAAACAAAAAGAUACUCUACAUCAUCCCCUACCAGCUGCAAUGUCUACAUACAUCAAUGAAAGACUCGCAGAAAAUAUACCACCAACAGUUGUCCAUCAGAUCACAAAAAAGCGCUUCUUCUCAAGAAAAAAUCUUGGUGUGCAUGACACAAAAGCUAGUAUACUUCAAAAAAAAUUAAUUUUAGAACGAGAACGAAGGAGGAGUAUGAAACGUCGGCUACAUCAGGACGAUACCGAAUCUGUUUUUCUGUUAGCCCGUGAAAUCAUGGCAAAAGAUAAUUCUCUUUUAAUUUAUAAGCCAAGUGGAAAGAAAGUUGUUCAUGGACCUGCUGGAAUUGAUGAGCUUUCUAAUUCUGAAGAUCUAUUUAUGUUUGCCUUUCAAACAGACAGACAGUUAGAUCUAAUGAAGAGAUAUGGCUCCAAAAUAUUAAUUGUUAAUGAGACUCAUGGGACCAAUCAAUAUGAAUACCAACUGCUUACUGUAAUGGUCGUUGACGAUAAUCGUCGUGGUUGGCCGGUUGCCCAUCUAAUUACCAACAAGUCUGAUGCCAAUACACUCAAGUUUUUUUUUCAAACUUUAGAUGCUAGGCUAAAUAAUGAAGUACCACUGAGCACUGUGAUAACUGAUGAUGAUCCUGCACUGAUAAAUGCUAUAAAUGCAGGGUUUUCUCAGGAACUGAAGCAUAUAUUGUGCAAAUGGCAUGUCCUCAAGAACCUUGCAGAAAACCUAAGAGCCAAAGUCCCUCUUGAUUUAUUCAAUACGAUGUUGUCCGAAAUUUUAGUCAUAAUGAACACUGCGAGUAAAGGUUCAUUUUUGAAGUUAAAAGAAGAUUUCCGAAGCAAGUACGGAAAUAAUCCGGCUACCUCUGACUUUAUGUCAUACUUAGAGGACCAGUAUUGGAAUAGAGUAGAAAAGUGGUUGAUGUGUCACAGGCACUUCCCCCAUGGAGAAAUAAAUACAAUAGGAUAUCUUGACUCCUUUCAUAAUAGAUUGAAAACUGAGUACCUCAAGCGUAAAGUGAAUAAGAGACUAGAUGACCUCAUUCUUAUUCUGUACGAUAUUGAAAGGGAUGACCACUACACUCGGCUUAAGGAAGCUGAUGUUGGCUUUUCUGUUCAACAUCAAGAUAUUCUAGAAAGACACAAACGAGGCCUUUUAAUGAAAGACAAUAUGAUCGUGGAGCAAAUUGUAGAUAGGCUCUGGGAGAUAAAGUCUGUUGAUACCAAAAGUUGUGAAACAAAUUAUAUAGAACGCUGCAAGGAGUUAUGUAACCUUGAAAUGUGUUCUUCAAAGUGCACCGAAGCAGAGUGCCAUGGCCUAUGUUCCCAUAUUUUCUUAUGCAGCUGCUCUGACCACCAUCCUCUGUGCAAGCAUAUUCAUAAACUUCAGUCUUAUCUCACUAGAGGUGACCCUUUUGUUCCCUCUGAAGAAAGUUUUUACUUUCUUGAAACUGACAACAAUGGUGAAGAACUCCAUAGCGAUUCCGAGAGUGCUUUUGAGACCUCAUCAAACCCCUCUGAAAAAACAGAAAAUAUUUUUGAACAGAUGGCAAGCAAUAUCUCCGUUCUCCAACAGUUUUUAAAUGCAGCCAAAGAAAAUGCAGUCUCUGAGAAUACUGUCAUCCACGUGAAUUCUGUUUUAUCUGAUCUGGUAACUCGUUUAGAGGCUGAGAAACUUCAAAACUAA
rnacentral:lncRNA from 1 species